AUUGAACGCUGGCGGCGGGCCUAACACAUGCAAGUCGAACGAGUGGCGGACGGGUGAUUAAUGUCUGGGCAACUGCCCGAUAGAGGGGGAUAACUACUGGAGACGGUAACUACUACAGCCUCCCGUCGGAUCUGCCCAGAUGGGAUUAGCUAGUAGGUGGGGUAACGGCUCACCUAGGCGAUGAUCCCUAGCUGGUCUGAGAGGAUGACCAGCAACACUGGAACUGAGACACGGUACAGACCUCUACGGGAGGCAGCAGUGGGGAAGAUUGCACAAGGGGCGCAAGCCUGAUGCAGCCAUGCCGCGUGUAUGAAGAAGGCCUUCGGGUUGUAAAGUACUUUCAGCGAGGAGGCGUUACUCGAAGAAGAAGCACCGGCUAACUCCGUGCCAGCAGCCGCGGUAAUUC
rnacentral:rRNA from 1 species